rnacentral:misc_RNA from 1 species
GAUGAAGAACGUAGCGAAAUGCGAUAAGUAGUGUGAUUUGCAGAAUUCAGUGAAUCAUCGAAUCUUUGAACGCACAUUGCGCCCUUUGGUAUUCCAAAGGGCAUGCCUGUUCGAGCGUCAUUUGUACCCUCAAGCUUUGCUUGGUGUUGGGCGUCUUGUCUCUAGCUUUGCUGGAGACUCGCCUUAAAGUAAUUGGCAGCCGGCCUACUGGUUUCGGAGCGCAGCACAAGUCGCACUCUCUAUCAGCAAAGGUCUAGCAUCCAUUAAGCCUUUUUUUCAACUUUUGACCUCGGAUCAGGUAGGGAUACCCGCUGAACUUAAGCAUAUCAAUAAGCGGAGGA